AGGGCCUCCCACAUGCCCAUAUAUGGACACGAUGCAGGACAGUUCUGGCCAUGGUCGGAGGUGCAGGCCUCUGCGACCUCACAAUGCCCAGGCCCCCCCCAGCGUCUAUAAGAGGCACAGGACCAGCCCCUGGUUCACAGCCCUCAAAGUUCCACCUGCUCACAGGUUGGCUGGCUCAGCCAAGGUGGUACCCCUGCUCUGAGCAUCUAGGCCAGUUCCACCCAGCACCAUGGCCAGAUACAGAUGCUGCCGCAGCCGGAGCAGAUGCCGCCGCCGGAGAAGAAGAUGUUACAGACGAAGGAGGCGCUGCUGUCGGAGGAGGAGGAGAAGAGUGUGCUGCCGCCGCUACACCGUUAUAAGGUGUAGAAGAAGAUAAGAUGCUGAAGGCACAAGCUAGCAAGUCCACACACUCCUGCCUGAGUUUUACCGGCUACAAGACCCUCUUGCUACACCUUGAACAUGCCACCAUCUCAAUGAAGUGAACAUGGAACAGGAGCCUGCUAACGAACAACGCCGCCUGUCAAUAAAUGUUGAAAAAAUAA